AGCUUUGUGCAGUGGCAGUAUCGUAGUCAGUGAAGUUUAUCCGAGGCGCGAUUAUUGCUAAGU
rnacentral:snRNA from 1 species